GGCAAAAUAUCCUUACAUACUUACAGCCAACUGUAAUAUUCAAGGAUUCCAAGAUCUUCCCUUGCACAAAGGAGAAAUCUGCAGCCCUGGCUCAUCUAAGGCCACACAGAGACUUCUGAGUGAUGGCAUCUGAAAGGCGCUGGUCAGCCCUGAACUCCCCUGAUCUCCCUGAAGUAUGUGACGAUUGGCCUGUCCUUUCUGGAUGUUCUCUCAAUGCAAAGCCUUCUGGGUCUCGCCCCUGCUCCAACACCCACCCCAUGGCACGAGCCUCCAGGAAAAUUAGACGCACAGAGUCAACUCUAACCACAGAGGCAUGGAAUGGAAUUUCUGCUGCUGCCUUCCCAGAAAGGUACCCCUUUGCUUCCUGGGGAGUUCCUUCAAAGAGCCGCUACCCUCCUGGUCUCAUCAUUGGGAAUCACUCAGUGGGUGUCCAGAUCAGACUGGUCACACUGCUGCACUGUCCUGCUUGACCGGGAAGGAAACUUACUUUCUCAAUUUAUUUUAAAGAGGGCAGUCCCUCACCAGCCUCGCCAUUCCUGUAGAUGCCUUCCAGGCAGCAAAUGCCAGUGGGCAGUGAGCAUAUCAGCUACUCCUUGCUUGAUGCCAACAAGAAAUUUACAACCUGCUUGGUUCUGCCAGCUGGCCCCGUACUGCUCCUGGGCAGGGAAUGCUCUCCCCAGUGCUCCGUCCCAUCUGCUAGGCCCCCAGCUCUGCCUGCCUUGCCCCAGAAGACCUGGCCAGGUGGCCCUUGUCUCUGAAGACUUCCUGGACUCCAUGAGUGAGAGAGGAUGUCCAGGUGGAAUGAGGGUCCCCAGUCAGCCCCUAAGCGCAAGAGCCCUUCCCAUCAAAGAGGGGAGCCACACAGCAGGUGCGUAUGAGGAAGAAAUGGUCCUGGCCAGCCUGACCUCAUUGCCAAGAGUGGAGAAGACCAAUGCUGUCUUUAGGGAGAACUUCCUUUGUGUCACCAGGGCUGGAAAAUACGGUCCCAUUUUAAUCUCAUGACAUCCUGAGUAGGAGCUGUGCUCUCAUUUUUCAGAUAACAACACCGAGGCUCAGGGAAGUUAGACAACUUGUCUAGGUUUAUCACCAGACCAGAGCCCGCUCCCAGGUGUCUCUCCUCUCCAGGCAGGUCCUUCUGAGUUGUUUCUCUGCUUUCCCUCCUCCACCCAUCCCUGCAUCCCUCCAUUCACCAUCCCUACAUUCCUCAGCCAUUUAUCUCUCCCUCCUUCCCUCUCUCUUCUCAUCCAUUCAUUCACCAGCUGUCCCUCUAACCAUCCCUCCUUCCCUCACCAUAAUGAGCACAGGGAGCAUUUUCCCCAGAGCAGCAGCCUCCUCUGACCUCACUGCCUCUCCAUUCUCGUGCUUCCCUCUCCAAACUGUUCCUUUCACAAGGGCCUCCAUCCUGCUUGCCCCAUUCUAGUCUCAGGUCUGUUCUACGAAAGCCACAUGGCUUUGCUUAGCAUCUCCAAUAUCAGGGUGGGCAUGGGAUGGGGGGGUACAAAAAGCGAGACAUUAUUUGCAAUGAUUAAUCGUUUCCAGGGAGCCAGAUAUUACUAAUCCAGAUGUUUGGCUUAAAUAUAUAUUUUUUUCUAGUUGAUCCCAGUUACAGCAGGGGAAAAGUGCCCCAGCUUUGGACCCAAACAGACCUGGAUUCAUAUUGUUUUACCAAUUUCUGGAUAAAUGACUUUAGGCAGAUUUCUUGACCUUGACCCACAGCAGCCUCAGUUCCCUCACCUAGAAAUGGUCAAUAAUAGUAUUUACCCCCCAGGUGAAGCUUAAAAUGGGUGAUUGUG